GCAAGGAGCUCAGAUUUGGAAAUCGUGCUUUGCGGCACGCGUUGUAGAUUGCAGGUUGGAGUCUGUGUGGAAGGCGGUGUCCAAGUCCCUUGGAACAGGGCGCCCAGGAGGGUGAGAGCCCCGUGGGAUGCCGGCGGAAGCAGUGAGGCCCUUCUGACGAGUCGAGUUGUUUGGGAAUGCAGCUCCAAGCGGGUGGUAAAUUCCAUCUAAGGCUAAAUACUGGCGAGAGACCGAUAGCGAACAAGUACUGUGAAGGAAAGAUGAAAAGCACUUUGAAAAGAGAGUGAAACAGCACGUGAAAUUGUUGAAAGGGAAGGGUAUUGCGCCCGACAUGGGGAUUGCGCACCGCUGCCUCUCGUGGGCGGCGCUCUGGGCUUUCCCUGGGCCAGCAUCGGUUCUUGCUGCAGGAGAAGGGGUUCUGGAACGUGGCUCUUCGGAGUGUUAUAGCCAGGGCCAGAUGCUGCGUGCGGGGACCGAGGACUGCGGCCGUGUAGGUCACGGAUGCUGGCAGAACGGCGCAACACCGCCCGUCUUGAAACACGGACA
rnacentral:rRNA from 1 species